GACGAACGCUGGCGGCGUGCCUAAUACAUGCAAGUCGAGCGCAGGAAACUGACGGAACUCUUCGGAGGGAAGGCAGUGGAAUGAGCGGCGGACGGGUGAGUAACACGUAAGGAACCCGCCUCAAGGAUUGGGAUAACUCCGAGAAAUCGGAGCUAAUACCGGAUAGUUCAUCGGACCGCAUGGUCCGUUGAUGAAAGGCGCUUCGGCGUCACCUUGAGAUGGCCUUGCGGUGCAUUAGCUAGUUGGUGGGGUAACGGCCCACCAAGGCGACGAUGCAUAGCCGACCUGGGAGGGUGAUCGGUCACACUGGGACUGAGACACGGCCCAGACUCCUACGGGAGGCAGCAGUAGGGAAUCUUCCACAAUGGACGAAAGUCUGAUGGAGCAACGCCGCGUGAGUGAUGAAGGUUUUCGGAUCGUAAAACUCUGUUGUAAGGGAAGAACACGUACGAGAGGGAAUGCUCGUACCUUGACGGUACCUUACGAGAAAGCCACGGCUAACUACGUGCCAGCAGCCGCGGUAAUAC
rnacentral:rRNA from 1 species